GCGCGUAGUUAGCCGGUGCUUCUUCUGCGAGUACAGUCAUUAGUCCGUGGUGUUGUCACGGACCGUUUCGUCCCCGCCGAAAGAGCUUUACAACCCGAAGGCCUUCUUCACUCACGCGGCAUGGCUGGAUCAGGCUUGCGCCCAUUGUCCAAAAUUCCCCACUGCUGCCUCCCGUAGGAGUCUGGACCGUGUCUCAGUUCCAGUGUGGCUGGUCGUCCUCUCAGACCAGCUACGGAUCGUCGCCUUGGUGGGCCAUUACCCCGCCAACUAGCUAAUCCGACAUCGGCCGCUCCAAUAGUGCGAGGCCUUGCGGUCCCCCGCUUUCACCCGUAGGUCGUAUGCGGUAUUAGCCUAUCUUUCGACAGGUUAUCCCCCGCUACUGGACACGUUCCGAUGUAUUACUCACCCGUUCGCCGCUCGCCGCCAGAGUUGCCCCCGCGCUGCCGCUCGACUUGCAUGUGUAAGGCAUGCCGCCAGCGUUCAAU
rnacentral:rRNA from 1 species